GCGACUAUAGCUCAGUUGGUUAGAGCGCCGGUUUGUGGUACCGGAGGUCACGGGUUCGAGCCCCGUUAGUCGCCCCA
rnacentral:tRNA from 1 species